rnacentral:misc_RNA from 1 species
AAGUCGUAACAAGGUUUCCGUAGGUGAACCUGCGGAAGGAUCAUUACCUUUCCAUGCAGAAGGCUUGCGCAGGGCUUUGUGCCCUCGCAAGUCUUCCUGUAUACCACCCUUGUCUUUUGCGCACUCAUGUUUCCUCGGCAGGCUUGCCUGCCGGUUGGACAAAACUUAUAACCUUUUUAAUUUUCAAUCAGCGUCUGAAAUAAUUUUAAUAAUUACAACUUUCAACAACGGAUCUCUUGGUUCUG